rfam:Desulfotomaculum nigrificans CO-1-SRB chromosome, complete genome.
CCGUGCUAGACGGGGAGGUAGCGGUGCCCUGUACCAGCAAUCCGCUGUAGCUGGGUUGAAUUCCUGCCUUAGGGUAUGGCUUGUGAGGUCUGGCUAUCGUAAGGGGCGUUGACGAUCGGGUCUUACGCAGCGUAGGAUCCCGAACCGUGUCAGGUCCUGACGGAAGCAGCACUAAGGGAAUCCCUGCGGGUGCCGUGAGGUAGCCUGGUCUGAGCAACCUGCGGUGGCAUCGCUCGGAAGCCAUUAUUCGACGGUAGGUGCACGG